GACGAACGCUGGCGGCGUGCUUAACACAUGCAAGUCGAACGGAAAGGCCCUGCUUGCAGGGUACUCGAGUGGCGAACGGGUGAGUAACACGUGGGUGAUCUGCCCUGCACUUCGGGAUAAGCCUGGGAAACUGGGGCUAAUACCGGAUAGGAGCCAUUGUUAGUGGGAGGGGGGGAAAGUUUUUCCGGUGUGGGAUGAGCUCGCGGCCUAUCAGCUUGUGGGUGGGGUGAAGGCCUACCAAGGCGGCGCCGGGUAGCCGGCCUGAGAGGGUGGACGGCCACAUUGGGACUGAGAUACGGCCCAGACUCCUCCGGGAGGCAGCAGUGGGGAAUAUUGCACAAUGGGCGCAAGCCUGAUGCAGAGACGCCGCGUCGGGGAUGACGGCCUUCGGGUUGUAACCUCCUUUCGCUAGGGACGAAGCUUUUGUGACGGUACCUAGAGAAGAAGCACCGGCUAACUACGUG
rnacentral:rRNA from 1 species